rnacentral:SRP_RNA from 1 species
CGCAUGGGCUUGGGCGGCAUCAUGUCCCGAACCUGGUCAGGUCCGGGAGGAAGCAGCCAUAAGGGGCCUCUGGUGGGCGCCCAAGUCCAUACGGCG